UGGGGGAUAUUGCACAAUGGGGGAAACCCUGAUGCAGCGACGCCGCGUGAGUGAAGAAGUAUUUCGGUAUGUAAAGCUCUAUCAGCAGGGAAGAAGAAGGACAGUACCUGAGUAAGAAGCCCCGGCUAACUACGUGCC
rnacentral:rRNA from 1 species